rnacentral:rRNA from 1 species
GACGAACGCUGGCGGCGUGCUUAACACAUGCAAGUCGAACGGAAAGGCCCUGCUUUUGUGGGGUGCUCGAGUGGCGAACGGGUGAGUAACACGUGAGUAACCUGCCCUUGACUUUGGGAUAACUUCAGGAAACUGGGGCUAAUACCGGAUAGGAGUUCCUGCUGCUUGGUGGGGGUUGGAAAGUUUCGGCGGUUGGGGAUGGACUCGCGGCCUAUCAGCUUGUUGGUGGGGUAGUGGCUUACCAAGACUUUGACGGGUAGCCGGCCUGAGAGGGUGACCGGCCACAUUGGGACUGAGAUACGGCCCAGACUCCUACGGGAGGCAGAAGUGGAGAAUAUUGCACUAUGGGCUGAAGCCUGAUGUAGCAACGCCGCGUGCGGGAUGACGGCAUUCGGGUUGUAAACCGCUUUCGCCUGUGACGAAGCGUGAGUGACGGUAAUGGGUAAAGAAGCACCGGCUAACUACGUG